UUUAUAAACGUAUUUGGUAGUCUGUUUGAAUUAUAGUCAUACAUAAAAAGAGCACUAUUUGAGUAUAUCAAGUCUUCCAAUUUAAGUAUUCCUAGACUGAAAAAAAGUGGACUGGAAUGAGAGUCGUAGCUUGAAAAGCUAAUUAUUCUCACUAUCUUUUUUGUAAAGUAAUAAGAGGCUGAAGAGAAGUUUUAUAAGUAUUUCCCCAGGUGAUGCAACUAUAAGAUAAAAAAAGGGUAAAUCAAAGUAUAAUAAAGCUGAACGAGUACUUGCGGGCUUACAUAAUAUCUAAUCUUUGAAAGGAUUCCGAUACUGCGUUUAAUUUUUUUUUGUUAUAUGUAAGAUGUGGAAUUUCCAGCUUAAAUUGGAGUCAAUGUGUAGACCUAGAUAUUUGAUAUAUUUCUCUUGUUUUAUCAUCUUGCUGUUGAUCAUUAAUCGAACUUUGUAGUUUAUUGGUUUUUGUGGAGGGUGAAAUAUGAUAAAGUUUGUCUUAUCGAUAUUCAAUGAUAGUUUGUUUGCCAUAAGCCAGCAAGAGACAAGUUUCAGAUUAGCAUUAAUCACACUUUCAAGUUUAGUCAUACUGAAAUCUGAGUAAAAUAAAUUAGUAUCAUCUGCAAAAAUAUGGAAGUSAAAUAAACUACAGCAAUUGCUAAAGUCAUUAAUAUAWAAAAGAAACAAAAGUGGMCCUAGCACUGAACCCUGAGGGACUCCAUGGGUGAUAAUUUCCUCUUCAGAUUUGAUAUUACCAAUCGAAACAAACUGCCUUCUAUUAUUAAGAUAGGAAUAUAUAAAUAUAAAUAUUUGGUACCCUUCCAACCUGUUAUAUCAGGAUGUUUGGUUCCAUUUCCUCCAGUAAUGAUUUCAGGAUAUUACGUACCAUUCCAUCCAGUAAUAUCAGGAUAUUUGGUGCCAUUCCAUCCAGUAAUAUCAGGAUAUUUGGUACCAUUUUGCAGUAAAAGCAGGGUAUUUGGUACCAUUUCAUCCAGUAAUCUAUUGUACACUUAUUUGUAGGUUUUAGUUCUACUUAUGUAUUGGUAUCAGCUGCUAGAAAUAUACCUGAUGUUUUGGAUAUUUCUUUCCUGAAGAGACAGACGCAUUUACAGAGAUGAGGCGAAGAACCUACGUGAUUCACUGGGCUGUACGUACGACGCACGGAUCCCAGAAAGCCGGAAAUAGAUUUCCUGGGAAUCUUCCACCCUGGGCUUGUGGUUUACAGAGCUGAUAGAGCACAAUGCGCAGGUCUCUGUUUUUUUGAUGGUCGCUCUUAUGUGUUCUGGAUGACUGUAUUCUUAAAUCCUCAGGAAUUCUCGACAGCCAUGAGACAGGAAGUCUGUCGUGCGAACAAAGGCUGGUCACUAGACUGCGUAGUCCUACACAAUGACGUCACACGGUUCUCAAAGAUGACAUCACAAGUCCCCCAACUGAAGGUGUCGACGUGCAUGGAUUGUGUCUAGAUGGAGCAGGAUCAGGGUUCGACGAAGCUGUAAGCUGAUAGAACCUGCACCUAUCCAAGUCCUCUUCACCUCUGUCACUGUAGUUUAUAUUUAUGACAAUCGAUUGUACCAUUGUCCUAUUUAUAGGAAGCAGCGACGCACAGACCUGACAUACAUUG